CCUACGGGGGGCUGCAGUGGGGAAUAUUGGACAAUGGGGGGAACCCUGAUCCAGCCAUGCCGCGUGUGUGAAGAAGGCCCUCGGGUUGUAAAGCACUUUCAGUGAGGAAGAACGCCUGGUGGUUAAUACCCAUCAGGAAAGACAUCACUCACAGAAGAAGCACCGGCUAACUCCGUGCCAGCAGCCGCGGUAAUACGGAGGGUGCGAGCGUUAAUCGGAAUUACUGGGCGUAAAGCGCGCGUAGGUGGCUUGAUAAGCCGGUUGUGAAAGCCCCGGGCUCAACCUGGGACGGCAUCCGGAACUGGCAAGCUAGAGUGUAGGAGAGGAAGGUAGAAUUCCCGGUGUAGAGGGUCAAUGCGUAGAGAUCGGGAGGAAUACCAGUGGCGAAGGCGGCCUUCUGGACUGACACUGACACUGAGGUGCGAAAGCGUGGGUAGCAAACAGGAUUAGAUACCCGAGUAGUC
rnacentral:rRNA from 1 species